rnacentral:rRNA from 1 species
ACCAGACUCCUACGGGAGGCAGCAGUGAGGAAUAUUGGUCAAUGGUCGGGAGACUGAACCAGCCAAGCCGCGUGAGGGAGGAAGGUACAGAGUAUCGUAAACCUCUUUUGUCAGGGAACAAAGACUGGGACGCGUCCCCGGAUGAGUGUACCUGAAGAAAAAGCAUCGGCUAACUCCGUGCCAGCAGCCGCGGUAAUACGGAGGAUGCGAGCGUUAUCCGGAUUUAUUGGGUUUAAAGGGUGCGUAGGCGGUCCGGAAAGUCAGCGGUAAAAGCCCGGGGCUCAACCCCGCCCAGCCGUCGGAACUGCCGGGCUAGAGUGGGCGAGAAGUGCGCGGAAUGCGUGGUGUAGCGGUGAAAUGCAUAGAUAUCACGCAGAACUCCGAUUGCGAAGGCAGCAUACCGGCGCCCAACUGACGCUCAGGCACGAAAGCGUGGGUAUCGAACAGGAUUAGAUACCCCUGUAC